rnacentral:rRNA from 1 species
UUCGGCGGCCAUAGCGAGAGGGAAACGCCCGGUCACAUUCCGAACCCGGAAGCUAAGACUUUCAGCGCCGAUGGUACUGCAGGGGGGACCCUGUGGGAGAGUAGGACACCGCCGGAC